GCCUACACUCAGCGCCUGAGCGGCGAUACCCCCUGCUAGGCUCUCGCCACCUGUGGAAGCAUACCCUGCAACGAGGCUACCACAGGUGCAACGCUGUUGUUGGCGGAAAGAGUUCAUUGGGCGCUUUUGGUUGUUUUUGACUUCGCCGAGGAAGACCGUCCAUUAGUUGCAUCUGCGCUUGACAUCAGCUAUGCAGAUGUCACCCAAUGUAUGCUGAGUCGGUGUCACAGCACACAGCAUGAGAAAUGGACGCUUUUUCUCAUGAUCACAGGAAUGAAUCUGGUAUUUAGAUUCGCCCAAAGUCACCAGCAGAAACAAGCCAGCUAA